CGCGCGCGGAUUGGGCAGCGCGUGCCUCUCGCGGCCCCUCCCCCGCUCGCGGGCGUCACGUGACUCGGACGGCGGCUCCCGGCGCGGUGGACGCUGGAGGCCAAGAUGGCGGCGGAGCUGGUGGAGGCGAAAAACAUGGUGAUGAGUUUCCGAGUCUCAGAUCUUCAGAUGUUGCUGGGUUUUGUUGGCAGGAGUAAAAGCGGACUUAAACAUGAACUAGUCACCAGAGCAUUGCAAUUGGUCCAAUUUGACUGCAGCCCUGAAGUUUUCAAGAAGAUUAAGGAGCUCUAUGAGACUCGCUACGCCAAGAAGAGCUCUGAAGUCGCGCAGCCUCAGCCACAGCAACACCGGUCUCCCGAGGCACUCUCCAUACAUUCAUCGUACGACCGCGGGAGCACCGUUGCUCGGACUUCUAUCUCCACUACUAAUAUUGACUAUCCUGCGCUCUAUGGGAAAUACCUUAACGGACUGGGAAGGUUGCCACCCAAAGUUGCGAAGCCUGAAGUUCGGCUGGUGAAACUUCCCUUCUAUACGACCCUGGAUGAACUGUUGAAGCCAACAGAAUUGGUUCCACAGAAUAAUGAGAAGCUUCAGGAAAGUCCGUGCAUUUUUGCAUUAACACCAAGACAAGUGGAGUUGAUCAGAAAUUCCAGGGAGUUGCAACCUGGUGUGAAAUCGGUUCAGGUUGUGCUAAGAAUCUGUUACACAGACACUAGUUCUCCUCAGGAGGAUCAGUACCCUCCGAACAUUGCAGUGAAAGUGAAUCAUAGUUACUGCUCAGUGCCGGGCUACUAUCCAUCAAACAAACCUGGAGUGGAACCUAAAAGGCCCUGUCGUCCCAUCAACCUUACCCAUCUCAUGUACUUGUCCGCAGCGACCAAUCGCAUCACCGUUACCUGGGGGAAUUAUGGGAAGAGCUAUUCCGUGGGGCUGUACUUGGUGCGGCAGAUGACCUCAGCGGAGCUGCUGCAGAGAUUGAAAACCAUUGGGAUCAAACAUCCAGAACUCUGCAAAGCACUUGUAAAAGAGAAGCUACGCUUGGAUCCAGACAGUGAAAUUGCUACUACGGGUGUUCGUGUCUCUCUUAUCUGUCCGCUGGUGAAGAUGCGGCUGUCUGUCCCAUGCCGGGCGGAGACCUGUGCACAUCUGCAGUGCUUUGAUGCAGUCUUCUACCUACAGAUGAACGAGAAAAAGCCUACGUGGAUGUGCCCUGUGUGUGACAAACCAGCACCCUACGACCAGCUAAUUAUUGACGGGCUCCUGUCAAAGAUCCUGACAGAAUGCGAAGAUGCAGAUGAAAUAGAGUACCUGGUGGAUGGCUCCUGGUGUCCCAUCAGAGCUGAGAAAGAGCGGAGCUGCAGCCCUCAGUGUCCAAUAUUAGUUCUAGGUUCUUCGGAUGUGAAUGGGCUGUUGCCCACUCCGAACGGUAACGGUGAGAACGGCAAGGCCACUGCCGACGUUGUGGAUUUAACACUGGACAGCUCAUCAUCGGAGGAAGAGGAGGAGGAAGAUGAGGAAGAAGAUGACGAUGAUGAGGGACCCCAACCAAAACGACGCUGCUCUUAUGAGAAAGGUUUAGUUUCUGCCUGCUGACUGCGGAAGCAGCUCUGAAUCUCAGAACGGACAGACUUGAAUACUCUGGUGCUUAUUAAACUGGAGGAGGGGGAGAAUGUCCUCUCCCACCUCAUCUCCCUUCCUCCCUGAUCUCCUUUGACUUUCCUAUUCCAAAUUAAUCAUUAAAAUGAGAGAAAAAAAAGAGAAAGAAAAAAAAAACCACAACCGCAAACAAAAAACAAACCAUUGAGCUGCUUCUUGGUUGGAAAACGACCCCACUCAAAGCCUGACCCUGAACUGGAGUCUGAAGUAAGGAAAGUGUCUUAAGCCAGGCAGUCAGAAUCCGCAGCUCGCUGGUCUCUGCUGCCCUUCACCAGGACGGUUGGAAUCGGUGGAGUUCACCUGCAGAUCUACAGGACAUCUAACUCCCGUGCAUCUCCAAAGCUGCUUUGUUUCUGGAGGCGGUGGCAGUGACCUGCAGGACAGCUGGACACCUGGCACGUGAGGAGGAGCGGGGUGGGGGGCGAGGGAUGCUUGGGCCUUCGAGAAAAUGCCAGGUGGGGGAAUCUCAGUUUCUAGCCAACUACCUCGGUAAACUCCAAUUCAGGUUUCUUUCAGUCACGAACCAGCGUGCGGCCCGGCACCGGCGCUGCUGGCGGCACUGUUGGCAGGGUGUUGAGGACAGAGCCGAGGGACGAUGCGUGGAGCCCUGCGACCACGUGUUAACAGCCUCUGGACUUUCCACUUCUCUGUUCAAGACUUUGGUCCCAGACCCAAAGCUACUGCUAUGCUCUUGAUGGCAAAAUGUUGUUGCUUUUGAGUUUCCAAAUGGUAACCUUUUUGACUUUGUCUUAGGGAAUUUUUGUAAUUAACUUUGCGUCAGCAGCUCUGCUGUUCCCGCUAACGCCUCUGAACUCUCUUUUGCUUUGGACCUCGCUGACUUUUCUCACGUGUUAGCUGAGAAUAAACGUUGCAAGGAGGAAGCUGGCCUGUGCCUCUGCCCCUCGCCGUGCCACGGGAUGGGUGACAAGCAGGAGCGAUGUCCCCGUGCCCAACGUCGGGGCGUUCCUGCCGCUUGAGCAGCGUCCAGCCGCGCUGUGCCGAGACCCCCGAGCUCUGGGCAAGGGGCUCCUGGUGUCACCGGGCACUGCCCGAGCCCGGCGCAGGGGUGUCCCUGCACCCCAAACCCUUCAGCCCUCGCCUCCCGGCAGCUGGGGCGUUGGGGGGAGGGGGGCGGCGACGGCAGCGAAGUGGCAGAACCAAAGCGACGGCGCUUUGAGAAAAAACGAAGCACAGCCAAUCUCAUGUCGUCAGAAAAGCCACCAAGGUCCACCCAGAACAAUUUUAAAUCCUUGUCAGUGACUUGCCCAAAAGCAUCUAGGAAGAAAGCAAAGAAUUAUCCUCUAAAUGCUGUUGAGCAGGAAGCUUCGACCUGGCACGUUUGGAGGUUUCCCCUCCAAAUUCUCCCCCGUCUCUCCCGCGUGUGGUGUAGGAUCCCCGAAUCCCCGGCCCAGCGCAGGAGGGCACCGGGCUCCGCAUCGGGCUGCGGGCGCUGGCGGAGGGAGCGCCCCUCGCUCCCGGCCCUUCCUGCCCUUCUGCGUUUUGUCUCGGAAAACGAGAACUUGAAGGCAAAAGGCGGGGGGGGGGGGGGGGGGGGGGGAAUUAAAGAACCCCCCACGGUUUCUCCCCAGGCACCUUGGGAGGGUGUCCCGGCCGGUGCAGGCAGGGACGGGCAGGGGGGAGCGGGCAGCAGGCAGGGAGGCAGCCGCAUCUCGUUCGCUCUUCCGCUGUUUCCAGUCUUGCUUCCACGGAGAAACUCUUACUUGUAUGACACAAGACUUUUCUUUUUCUUCUCUUUUUUUUUCUGUUUGCGUGUAAGCAAUAUGUUUUCAGGUUUAAACGGGGGCGGGGGUGGGAAAGGGGAUUAAAACACAAAAAAAUAAAAAACCUGGGUAGAGCUCAAAAAUUAAGUUUUACUGUAUAAAGUUCUGUGGCUCGCAUCCCUGGCUGCACAGUAGCUUUAGAGUCCAGUUUUUUCUAAUAUUUGUAUUCUAAUUUAAUUGCUUUUAAAUUUUCCAGGCCAAGCCACUGUUUGGAAACAUCAUGCUUCUGUUACUGCUUUCUGUUUGAGUUGGCCAGCUCUUCCUGUACAUAUGUUUUUUCUUAUAUCCUGUUUUUUUCUUUUUUUUGUAAAGAGAAGAGAAAAAACAAAAAGAAAAUUAUUUUUCUUUCCCUCAGUACACAUUCUUCAAAGUUCAAAUUAUAGUGUUUGUUAAAUAAAAAGAAAGAUUUA